rnacentral:rRNA from 1 species
AUUGAACGCUGGCGGCAGGCCUAACACAUGCAAGUCGAACGAGUGGCGGACGGGUGAGUAAUGUCUGGGAAACUGCCUGAUGGAGGGGGAUAACUACUGGAAACGGUAGCUAAUACCGCAUCCUAUCGGAUGUGCCCAGAUGGGAUUAGAUAGUAGGUAGGGUAAAGGGUCACCUAGGCGACGAUCCCUAGCUGGUCUGAGAGGAUGACCAGCAAAGCGAGAACUGAGACACGGUCCAGAGUCCUACGGUAGGCAGCAGUGGGGAAUAUUGCACGAUCGGCGCAAGCCGGAUGCAGCGGUGCCGCGUGUGUGAAGAAGGCCUUCGGGUUGUAAAGUUCUUUCAGCGGGGAGGCGAUACCCGCAGAAGAAGCACCGGCUAACUCCGUGCCAGCAGCCGCGGUAAUUC